AAAUGUUUAGGAUCCGAAACCAGGAAAGGAUAUGUCAGGAUGAAAUUAUUCAGUUUCAAAAGCAGGAAAAGACAUUUCAGGAUCAUACUUGUACAACCCAAAACCUGGAAAGGAAAUGUCAGGAUAACAUCAGUACGAUCCGAAACGUGGAAAAGAAAGUGCAGG